AGCAGCCGCGGUAAUUCCAGCUCCAAUAGCGUAUAUUAAAGUUGUUGCAGUUAAAAAGCUCGUAGUUGAACUUCAGGCCUGUCCAGAUGGUCCGCCUUAAUUGGUGUGUACUGUCCUUGGGUGGGUCCUACCUUCUGGCGAAGCGGCAUGGCCUUAAUUGGUUGUGUUGGGGAACCAGGACUUUUACUGUGAAAAAAUUAGAGUGUUCAAAGCAGGCAAAUAUGCUCGAAUACAUUAGCAUGGAAUAAUGGAAUAGGACGAUGGUUCUAUUUUGUUGGUUCUAGGACCGUUGUAAUGAUUAAUAGGGAUAGUUGGGGGCAUUAGUAUUCAAUUGUCAGAGGUGAAAUUCUUGGAUUUAUUGAAGACUAACUACUGCGAAAGCAUUUGCCAAGGACGCUUUCAUUAAUCAAGAACGAAAGUUAGGGGAUCGAAGACGAUCAGAUACCGUCGUAGUCUUAACCAUAAACUAUGCCGACUAGGAAUCGGGCGACGUUGACAAAAUGACUCGCUCGGCACCU
rnacentral:rRNA from 1 species